AAUCCAUAGUGCGGGCAUUUCUGAAUCAACAUUUUAAAAUGUUCCCAAGCCUUGCAAAUACUUUCUCCUUCAAUUUGUCUAAAAACAUCAAUUUCUCUUCUUAGUUG
rfam:Gossypium raimondii chromosome 12, whole genome shotgun sequence.